AAUAGAUACCCGGGUAGUCCACGCCGUAAACGAUGAGUGCUAAGUGUUAGAGGGCUUCCACCCUUUAGUGCUGCAGCUAACGCAUUAAGCACUCCGCCUGGGGAGUACGGCCGCAAGGCUGAAACUCAAAGGAAUUGACGGGGGCCCGCACAAGCGGUGGAGCAUGUGGUUUAAUUCGAAGCAACGCGAAGAACCUUACCAGGUCUUGACAUCCUUCGCUACCUCUAGAGAUAGAGGGUUCCCCUUCGGGGGACGGAGUGACAGGUGGUGCAUGGUUGUCGUCAGCUCGUGUCGUGAGAUGUUGGGUUAAGUCCCGCAACGAGCGCAACCCUUGACCUUAGUUGCCAGCAUUCAGUUGGGCACUCUAAGGUGACUGCCGGUGACAAACCGGAGGAAGGUGGGGAUGACGUCAAAUCAUCAUGCCCUUUAUGACCUGGGCUACACACGUGCUACAAUGGAUGGUACAAAGGGUCGCGAAACCGCGAGGUGGAGCCAAUCCCAAAAACCGAUUCUCAGUUCGGAUUGCAGG
rnacentral:rRNA from 1 species